rnacentral:rRNA from 2 species
CUUGACGACCAUAGAGCAUUGGAACCACCUGAUCUCAUCCCGAACUCAGCAGUGAAACGAUGCAUCGCCGAUGGUAGUGUGGGGUUUCCCCAUGUGAGAGUAGGUCAUCGUCAAGA